CAGUCGCCGCGGGAACACAGAGGGUGCGAGCGUUAAUCGGAUUUACUGGGCGUAAAGCGUGCGCAGGCGGUUAUAUAAGACAGAUGUGAAAUCCCAGGGCUCAACCUGGGAACUGCAUUUGUGACUGUAUAGCUAGAGUACGGCAGAGGGGGAUGGAAUUCCGCGUGUAGCAGUGAAAUGCGUAGAUAUGCGGAGGAACACCGAUGGCGAAGGCAAUCCCCUGGGCCUGUACUGACGCUCAUGCACGAAAGCGUGGGGAGCAAACAGGAUUAGAUACCCCCGUAGUCCCUGUCUCUUAUAC
rnacentral:rRNA from 1 species